rnacentral:tRNA from 1 species
CAGGACGUAGCUAAGAAGUAUAGCAUCUCCCUUACACCGAGAACUCACCCGUGCGAAUCGGGUCGGCCUGA